UAAAAUCGUUAACAUUAUACUAUUGUGCGAUCUGGGCCCGAGGUACUGUCACGACGUGUCAAGGGUCUCAUGUGAAAACCCAACAGACUCUGACGACACAGAGGUGGAGGAGUUUACAACAAUAUUUACUCAGUCUGUCAUUGCUAUCAAGAGCUUAAUUCAAUUAGGCUGCAGUUUUCACCAAGCCUCGGGGUUAAGAGAGCAACGUUCAAACAGGGAGCCAGGAGAGAGAGAGAGGGGGAACUCAGUCAGGGGUAGCCGGCUGGAUGGCAGCCCAGACUACUACCGCCGAAUGGGGUUUGACAAGGACCAAUUCAUGGGACUCAACUCUGGGAACCUAUCUCAAUUGGCCAAAGUAAUUACUGCAGCCAACACUAUUCUCAGAGAAAAUCUCUUGAAUGGAAGAGGUCCGAUGCGGGUCGACAGAGUUAUCAUAACAUAACUGGGCCACCACUAGUUCGAAGCCCCUUGGUUGCAAACGUCUUCCAAAGCAAUAGCCGUGGCAAGAUGGCUGCUUCAAAUACCCUGAGGAAUGAUUGAAGGAUGUGUAUAGCUAACCCAACUGCUGUUGACAAUGGCACACACCUACGCUUUGCUGGAGAUAUCAUUUGGCAUUACCAACCCUUACGGCCAAAAUAAUGAGGCAAUAUUUCUUCAAUAUGUGUAAAAACAUUUUAAAUAAAUGCUCAAUAGUAAUUUGCUUUACAUUAAAACAACUAUUUACUUUAUUACAUUGUAUGAUAAUGAGAAAAUAUAUUGGUAAUCCUAGAAUUUAGUGUCAAUACUCUGUUUUCUUCAGAAAUAUUUGUGUUUAAUGUACAUUUGGUGGGGCAAUGAUCAACUGUGAUCUUGGCAAUGAAGCCCUUUAUCUACUUCCCCAGA